GUGUCAGCAGCCGCGGUAAGACGAACCGUGCGAACGUUGUUCGGAAUCACUGGGCUUAAAGGGCGCGUAGGCGGGCCGUCAGGCCCGCGGUGAAAUCCCCCGGCUCAACCGGGGAAGUGCCGCGGGGACCGGCGGUCUGGAGUGAGAUAGGGGCGUGCGGAACUGUGGGUGGAGCGGUGAAAUGCGUUGAUAUCCACAGGAACUCCGGUGGCGAAGGCGGCACGCUGGAUCUCGACUGACGCUGAGGCGCGAAAGCCAGGGGAGCGAACGGGAUUAGAUACCCUAGUAGUCC
rnacentral:rRNA from 1 species